rnacentral:lncRNA from 1 species
CUCUGCCGAGGGGGCGGGGCGGCGGCGGCGGGGGGCCGCGACCGUUAAAGCUGUUGGAGGCGGCCGCGCGCGGGAGAGGCGCCUCAGAGUGGGCUGGUGGGGGUGUCUGGCAGGAGGUGCCGCGCUGCCAGUAAAUCUCAGGUCUGAUGGUAAACAGGCCUUCUGUGUCAGAUGGGGACUCCCGCAGUGCACUCUGCACACCUAAAUGUGCUUGCUCCAAGAAAGGAGGCUUCCCUUCCCUCUUUAAGAUGAAGUUAUUAAUGCAAAUGCAUACGUACAUGUUUAACACAUUUGUCCCGGUGUUCUGA